ACCUUGGUAGCUUAGUUGGUAAAAGCACCAGACCAUGAAAGCUGGAGUCCCAGGUUCAAGCCCUGGCCAAUGCA
rfam:Serpula lacrymans var. lacrymans S7.3 unplaced genomic scaffold SERLA73scaffold_1, whole genome shotgun sequence.